rnacentral:rRNA from 1 species
CAGCAGCCGCGGUAAUACGUAGGGUGCAAGCGUUAAUCGGAAUUACUGGGCGUAAAGCGUGCGCAGGCGGUUUUGUAAGACAGAGGUGAAAUCCCCGGGCUCAACCUGGGAACUGCCUUUGUGACUGCAAGGCUUGAGUGCGGCAGAGGGGGAUGGAAUUCCGCGUGUAGCAGUGAAGUGCGUAGAUAUGCGGAGGAACACCGAUGGCGAAGGCAAUCCCCUGGGCCUGCACUGACGCUCAUGCACGAAAGCGUGGGGAGCAAACAGGAUUAGAUACCCCUGUAGUCCCUGUCUCUUAUAC